UACGUAGGGGGCUAGCGUUGUCCGGAAUCAUUGGGCGUAAAGAGCGCGUAGGCGGCCAGAUAAGUCCGGUGUGAAAGUCAAAGGCUCAACCUUUGAAUGCCGCUGGAAACUGUCUGGCUAGAGUCCGGGAGGGGCGAGUGGAAUUCCUGGUGUAGCGGUGAAAUGCGCAGAUAUCAGGAGGAACACCAAUGGCGAAGGCAGCUCGCUGGAACGGUAC
rnacentral:rRNA from 1 species